rfam:Pyrenochaeta sp. DS3sAY3a unplaced genomic scaffold IQ07scaffold_24, whole genome shotgun sequence.
ACAUACGACCACAGGAUCUCGAAAGCAGCGCUUCCCGUUCGCUCAGCGGUACUUAAGUGGGAUACCGGCGAAUUAGUAGUUAUGUGGGUGACCAGUAGCGAAUCAUCGCUGUUGUAUGUU